GCUUAAUUGUCCCUUAAUCUUACAGUUUUUUAUUCAUCAUGGGUACCACAGCAGCCUGGGGCCUGCAGUUGGAACCGUGCCAAAAAGCGGGGACCAGAGGGCAUCUCUGCUUCUCAGCAGGGGGCUCGAGCUCUAACACAGAGGAUAACCUUGCUCCUUAGCAGCACAGCUGCCCUGAUCACCAGCUUGCAGAGCCUGGUGAGCUGACGGCAGAGAGUUUUUGCCCCUUUCCUGUCAUUUAGACGGCCCUCCAGGUAGCAGAACGGACGUCUGGUGAUGAACUGGUGGGGUUAUACAUCUGGCCCUAUAGUUCCCCAAUGUAUUACUCCCUGACCCAGGAAUGAGCAAGAACUCUGGUCUGCUACAACAAAAGAAA
rnacentral:lncRNA from 1 species